CCUACGGGAGGCAGCAGUGAGGAAUAUUGGUCAAUGGCCGGAAGGCUGAACCAGCCAUGCCGCGUGAAGGUCAGUGCCCUAUGGGCGUUAAACUUCUUUUGUGCGGGAGCAAUAAUGGUCACGUGUGGCCAGACGAGAGUACCGUACGAAUAAGCAUCGGCUAACUCCGUGCCAGCAGCCGCGGUAAUACUGGGGAUGCAAGCGUUAUCCGGAUUUAUUGGGGUUAAAGUGUGCGUAGGCUGUGAGGUAAGUCAGCGGUGAAAUGCCCCCGCUCAACGGGGUGAAGUGCCAUUGAUACUGCCUUGCUGGAAUGCGGAUGCCGUGGGAGGAAUGUGUGGUGUAGCGGUGAAAUGCAUAGAUAUCACACAGAACACCGAUUGCGAAGGCAUCUCACGAAUCCGCGAUUGACGCUGAUGCACGAAAGCGUGGGUAUCAAACAGGAUUAGAUACCCUUGUAGUC
rnacentral:rRNA from 1 species